GGCGAGCCUGGCGAGGCGGGGAGCCGGGAGCGUGAGCUGGGAACGUGGGAGCUGCCAGCCGAGCCGGCACCGCAGAGGGCAUGUGAGCCAGAAACGGGGUCCUGCCAUUGGGAAAAGGGCGCCGGCACCCCGGGGCCCUGUGAGCCGGGAGGGCGGGCGGUCGUCCUCGCUUGAGGGGCGGGCAGCUGGCCGUGGAACCCCGGCCCCUUCUGCGAGGGCCCUGCGGGAGCCGGGAGAAAGGUGCGAGACGCCAGCGGUGGGCUUGGCCAGUGCCUGGGCCCUGCUGCCGCCGGGCUCCUAAUUGUUUUUAAUUUGAGGAUAAUGACAAUAUCUUGAUUUUCCUACCCAACACUUUGGCUUCUGAAGUGACAUUUAUCUAAAAACUGCUGCAUUGUUCCAGGUCAGUCUGUAGCCACAUGUUUGUGUUUCUUCCUUCCGUUCUCCCCUAGGUGUUUAUUGGAGUAGAGUUGAUUUACAGUAUUGUCUCAGUGUUGGCUGUGCAGUGAAGUGAAUCAGUUAUGUGUCUAUAUGUGUAUCUGCUCUCUUUAGAAACGUUUUUUUCCAUACGGGCUGUCACAGAAUGUGGCGUCCCCUGUGCUGUACAGUUGGCCCUCGUUAGUUAUGUUUCAUUCACAAUAGUGUGUAGGGUCUUUGUCAGUCCCAGCCUGCCAGCCACAUGUGUUUUUCUUUGCUGCAUGUGUGUGUGUAAAACUGCUAGAGAGGGUCAGAAACAGGCUGAAUUGUGGGGGUUUUUUGUUUGUUUGUUUUUUUACCUCUUCGGCCUUGAAAAGAUAGUUCUUGAAACUUGAAAGUAUUACUGAGUUUGGAUUGUAUACUUGAUCUGCAAGGAACAUUUCAAGAGACACAAAAGCAUGGGGGGGUAGUGAUAAAUAUGUGGGCUUAUGACAACAGCAGUUUGCUUUAGUGAUGUUUUAACAAGGACUUCCCUGGUGGCUCAGUUGGUAAAGAAUCCGCCUGCAAUGCACGAGACCCCGGUUUGAUUCCUGGGUUGGAAAGAUCCCCUGGAGAAGGGAAAGAAAGGCUACCCACUCCAGUAUUCUGGCCUGGAGAGUUCCAUGGACUAUAUAGUGCAUGGGGCCGCAAAGACUCGGACUCAACUGAGCGACUUUCACUUCUAUGCUAAUAAUACAAAGCAUUUUGGAUGUGCAGAGUACCUUUAUGGCAAUCGUACUUGAAGAAACAGAAAGUAAGGCUGCCCUGUUUGAAGGUGGCACCAAUGGAAGGAGAUAGGAAGGGCCUGCUCUCUUCGUUGCAGGCGGCUGCUGCCUGGUGAUCCAGCACUGUGUCUGAAGUCAGCAUCCUGGUUCUGACACUUACCAGCUGUGGGAUCUUGGCAAAACCUGUCUUACCAGGUUAAAUGUGGGCAGUUUUUAAAAGUAGGAUAUUUUCUUAGAAAGGGUUUAGGAAAUCUUCAGGCAACUGAGUAUUAAUUUUAAGAGAGUAUCUAUGGGAGCCUUCCACAGAAGUAUGUGGAUCCUUUAUCUGGCGCUGCUGGCCAAAGAGGAAAAAAGACAUUAAAUGGACAAGUAGAAGGAUGUAUUUUCCAAAUAAAACUGAGCUGUAACAUGGAGCUAUAACAAUUUCAGAGAGCUGUGACGCGCCGAGAGGUUUAACGUCUGGUGCUUCAAAUUUUUGCUGUGACAAGACAGAACCGAGGAAAUUACACACUCCCUUGACAACCUUAAUAGAUAAAGAAAAGGUAAUUUUAACAAAACGUACAGAUUUGUCAGCAGAACUAGACUUAGAAAUGACAUGAGAGGAAGAACAAGAAACAUCUGAUGGAGAUGAAAAUAACCAUUCACAGAUUGUGUUAGCUUGUUGAAAAUUCGGGAUGCAAUUCUUUCAUGUGAAAGAUUGACCUUAAAGCAAGAAGAAGAGAAUAGAAGAAAUGCUGACAUGUUAUAUGAAAAAAUUAGGGAGCAGUUAAGAAGAAAGGAAGACCAAUAUAGUAAAGAAGCUGAAAUGAAACAGCAACUUGAACUCACUCUCAGAGCACUAGAUGGAACUGAAGACUGAGAAAGGAUCUGAAUCAGUGUCUCUCCAGGUUAUAGAAGAGUGACAUGACUCAGGAGCAGCUUUCUGGAGAACGGAAUGCCAGAAUCUUACAGGAGGGAAUCCUGGCCAAUCACCUUGGCAAAGAAAAGCAGAAAGAAGUGGCUGAUAAAGAAAUGAACUCUUAGACAUUACAAAAAGGUAUUGAAAGUUAUGGAAGCAGCAAAUAAUCUCAUGGUUGUCUAAGAAGAGCUCUCCAAGUUUUAUCUAUCACCAUUCGUGUAUGCACCGUGAGUGAAGUAAGAGGCUUAUUCUGUGUUGAUGUGUUUGCACCAGAGAAGUGGCCGUGGUCUGAUGUACGAGGACAGGUGGAGUUGGAAGACCUGCUGCUUAUUAUAUUUCUAGCUUCUUCCUUCCCAGAGUCGUUAUAGCUGAUGAGCUAACUGAUGUUUUUGUAGAAGUGCUUAGUGCAGCUGUCAAUAGGUUUAAUUCUUGUAAUUGACUAUUAAGAUGUUAGAACAGUAACAUAUUCUCAAGAAAAAAACUUUUUACAAAAUGUAAUCUCUUUAAAUUUGUACAGAGCUAAGGCUCUUAUUGUAGGGCAGCUGUACAGGUUAGGGAUCAGCUGUAUAGUUUUUAAAGCUAGCAAGUGGUGGUGUGUACUGGAGGUAUUUGUCAUAUUUGUUGGGAUAGUUUUAUUUCUAUUCAUGUCAAUUUGAAUUAAUUUGGGAAACAUUUCAGCAUUGAAUCAUUUAUUUUUAUAGCCUCUCAACUGUUUCAAGGCAUCUACUUCUAAUACAAUCAUAAUUUGGAACUCAA